CAGGGAUGCUGGGCAGUCGGCCCAGAUCCCCAGCGGCAGUAUGUAUUCCAGGGAGCUGAAGGUGCCGUCCUACCUCCCCAGUGGCAGUGUGUGUCCUUAGGAGAGGAGACAGUUGGUCCCUCUCCCCAGCAGUCCAGUGAGUUACAGGGAGACAAAGGUGCCGUCCUCCCCCACCCCCCCCCAGCGGCAGUAUGUUUCCCAGGGAGCUGAAGGUGCUGUCCUUUCUCCCCAGCAGCAGUGUGUGUCCUUAGGAGACAGUUGGUCCCUCUCCCCAGCAGUCCAGUGAGUCCCAGGGAGCCAAAGGUGCAGUCCUUCCUCCCCAGCGGCAGUGUGUGUUACAGGGAGCUGAAGGUGUCAUCCUUCCUCCCCAGCGGCAGUGUGUGUCCUUAGGAGA